UCCGAGGGAGACUCGGAACGCGAGAGCCGCGGUCUCUGCCGCCGCAGCCGCGGCGAGAGCUGUCACCUGGAAGCCGGGGCGGUGAGGAACCGGGAGGAGCUGGGUGCGCUGGCGGGCGCUGACCGCCUUCCCGCCCGCCGUCUGAGGUCCUGAUUCUGUGGUGGCAUCCCAUUUUCAGAGGGAAGAACAAAAUCCGAGUGACUCCCUCCUCAGGUUCACCAGCAGGCCCUGGUGGCCCAGCAUGGCUUGCUGAGAAUCAUGACCAGUGGGUCAACAUUUGCUACUGACCACCUAGAGUCACAUCUCGCCAGGAGGUGACCCCUCCUCCAGUUGCCCCCCACCC